UUAAAAAAACCCGCACCCCCCAACCCCGGCGCGACUUCCCUGACUCUCCUCUCCCGAGUCGCUGGAACCUCAUCCGAGGGUGCUGGCAAUAAAGCUCAUCCUACGGAUCAUUUUGCCUUGGGGUCUCCUUCAUUCGACUAAAAAACCUUACAUUUGGUGCUGAAACCCGGGAGGAGAUCGAGCCCCCACUCCGGUGAGGAGGCUCCCUCCUCCCCAUCCGGCCCGGUACCGCUUCUCUGAGCGCCGAUCUCAAGACUGCGGGGCCUGUUUCAAAUGUGGGGCCGAGGGACACUGGGCUCGUCAGUGUCCUAAUCCAAAGGACCCUACCCGACCAUGCCCUCAGUGCCGACUGAUGGGACACUGGAAAUCAGACUGCCCAAGCCUCGGGGGAUCCUCGGCGCCUCAACGCAGGAGAAACUCUGAGAUGGGUGGAUUGAGGCAUAUCCCACAGCCCGAGAGACCGCGGAUGUCGUGGCCACAGUCCUCAUCGAACACAUCAUCCCAAGAUUUGGACUGCCUCGAACCCUGCAGUCGGAUAACGGACCUGCCUUCAUUUCCAGCAUGACUCAACCAGGUUGUGGAAAUUCUUAGUAUCACCCGGAAGCUCCACAUCCCGUACCAUCCCCAAUCGUCGGGUAAGGUAGAAAGGGCCAACGGGUUACUCAAUGACCAACUCACCAAACUUACUUUAGAAACCUGUCUCUCGUGGCCCACCUUACUGCCCCUCGCCCUCACUUGACUCAGGGCAACUCCUCAGGGGCCCUCGGGAUUAAGUCUAUUCGAACUCCUGCACAGCCGACCAUGUCUCCUAACCCACAAACUUCCAGCCUCCGGGUUCCCCCCGCAACCCCUUCUUUCUUACUUACCUAUUCUGUGAGCCCUCUUAAAAGUCCAUGCUGACGCGACCAUACCUGCUCCAGACGACCAUGACGAGAGGGAGGUCCCUGUUCAAACCCUGUUCCCUGGAGACCAGGUCCUCCUCAGGGACCUACAGCCAGGAUCCCUGCAGCCACAUUGGUCAGGACUGCAUACAGUCAUCCUCACCACCCCAGCCGCAGCAAAAUUGCUGGGACAUCAGCCCUGGGUACAUAUUAACAACCUUAAACGAGUACCAACCUCGGACGAGUGGACCUCCCAAAUGGUGGGCCCAACCCAACUGCGGUUGGUACGUACUCCUAAUCCUGACCCUUCUACCCACCCUGACUGAAGCAGCUGAUUGUAGCCAAUGCAUGCGCGGCAUAGGAAAGGACUGCUAUUCCAAUCCUAUACUUUCAUGCCCCAGGACUGUUACCAGGGAAAAACUCCAACCACAUGCACUUCCUCCCAUGCCCCGGGGAAAAACUUUCUGGACCUCAGUACUUAAUACAAAGUAAAAAAGUCCCCUUGCACGCAGUACCCCAAAACUGGGACAGUCUGUUGGACCUAUUUGGCCCAGAUGGGACUCUCCCACGGGGGAGGGGUCCAGGACCAGGCUAAACACAAUCAAACCAAGUGGAUGAUCCAGGCCGUGUAUACCCAAUUGCAGGCUCAAGCUAUCCCCACCUACAAGGGAAUCAACCUCAAUAAUUUACAGAGAUCUUCCCCACUGACCAACUAACAAUGACCCUCCUUAACUCCAGUUAUAACCUGUGGUGGAGCAUAUCUCAGGACCGCGACUGCUGGAUCUGCUUCCCUUUCUCUACCAUUUCCAGUUAUCAUCGGGAUCCCCAUUCCGACAACGUGACCCCUACCCAACACCACCAUUACUAACCAGACGGUCCACACAGGGGCCAUAGGAAGACCCUUACGUAUUCUUAACCUUUCCUCAACUCUGGACAUCCUCACCAUCAACUCCUCCACCGCUACCUUCUCUCUCCCCUACUGCACCCCUCCUGGGGUAUUUCUCUCAUGCCCUGGGGGAAUCUACCGAUGCUUAACCGCCAAUGACUCUCUAGACUGCAUCUUCAUCUUACUGUCUCCCUCCACUACCAUCUAUUCCCACUCUCACCUCAUGUCUAUCUUAUUCCCUACACACCGAGACAGACGGGCAGCCUUCACUCCCUUACUCACUGGGGCGGGCCUGACCACAGGUGUUGCCACCGGAGCGGCAGGCCUCGGAACUUCAAUAAACUUUUAUUACAAGCUCUCCCAGGCACUCAAUGAUGACAUGGAGUGGAUCGCCGAUUCCCUUAGCGCCCUGCAGACGCAGAUUACCAGCCUUGCAGCCGUCGCCCUGCAGAACAGGCGAGCCUCAGACCUCCUAACAGCAAAAAAAGGGGGCACUUGCCUCUACCUAAAUGAAGAAUGUUGCUAUUACGUUAACCAGUCGGGCAUAGUCACCUCCAAAAUUCGCGAACUCAGAGACCGGAUACAAUCCAGACGCCAGGAUUCCCACCUGUGGGGUCCAGACCCCCGCACUUGGGUAACUUGGCUCCUCCCCCCAGCGGGAUCCCUGUGCUUAAUCCUGUUCCUAACCUCGGUCGCUCCCUGCCUUGGUAGGUGUCUACAGGAACGCCUUGAGAGACGGCGCGAGUUUCAGUGAAUCAACUCCUCGGUACUACCCCUGCUCUCGCCUGCCCACCUCCGACUGCCCCUAUCACGACGCCCAACUGUCAGCAGGAAGUAGCCAGAAUACAGUCGACGCCCCUCACACCAUUAAAUUUUAAAAAAAGAUCGGAAUGUUGGGCUGGCCAAGAGACAGGAGCACCCAAGAUGGCCGACACCUCAAAUUGGGUCAAGAUGGCGGAUCUUCCGGCCAAAGCCGCCGUGACCACCAGGUCCUCUCCAGUAAAUCGAAACCUAGAUGGGAAACCGAACCGGGACCAUCCAUCCGGGACCCCCCCCCCCCCCGAUCGUCUGGACUUUUCCCAUCCCCAGCCUAAAUUGGCAAGGGACCCACCCAGAUCCAGACCCAGAACCCAUAAGGCUUUAAAAAAAAAAACCCGCACCCCCCAACCCGGGCGCGACUUCCCUGACUCUCUUCUCCCGAGUCGCUGGAACCUCGCCCGAGGGCGCUGGCA